GGCCGAGUACCCAAGCGGUUCAAGGGGACGGAUCGCAAGUCCGUCUUUCGUUGGUUCGAAUCCAACCUCGGCCU
rnacentral:tRNA from 1 species